rnacentral:lncRNA from 1 species
AUUGGUAAGAAAGUUGAGGAGAAGACCUGAGCGUUGGUCUUGCUAACAUCACUUCCUCCUUCGUAUGAGUCUUUUGUGACUGCACUUCUAAUGAAAAAAAUACCAUCAAGAUGGAUGAGGUUAUCGCGGUGAUUUUUCAGAAUGAGAUUUUCAAGAGAGAGAACCUAGCUUCGAGCUCAGCUGGCAGCAGUUCAGCUUUAGCGAUUUUUGAAGGAGCAGGUAACAGCAGACGAAGUGGUAGAAAAUCGCAACGUGGGUGGUCCAAAUUCAGGAUGAGGGAUUUGAGCAAAGAUCAGAUGUUACCGAUGCGAUGAGUUAGGGCUAUUGCAGCAAUGGCCAGUAGCAAGUCAGAAGAUGAUAUCCUGA